GUGUUCGUCUCGGCAGUACAUCCACACAAAUCACAGUGAUACAGAGAUUAUCAUGGCCCCUGCACAAGGAUGACACACAAAUUCGUGAUGUGUUCCAUUAAAAA
rnacentral:snRNA from 1 species